CAAAUUCCACCAAAUCACUUCACAGGCCACUUUCCAUCGGAGGAGUCCCCUUCGCGUUUCUCACUUUCCAGGUUUAAGAAGCUCGACGGACACUUCACUCGGAUCCACUCGAGACGAGUAACGAGGCCGAAAUCGUUAGAGAUAAUGAGAGCAAGAAAUGGGUGCACGGUUGUGCAAAGCUGAAAGGGAGACGGCGACCGCGUUAAAUCGUGCAGAAAUCCAGGUUGCACCGACCUGAAGCCACACAACUCGCGGCCCUGACCCGCUCAACCGGUGACCUCGAUGAAUCACGCGACCGGCAGAUCUUUGGAGAGACAAUCGACGAAAGUUCUCGGUCGGUUGCAGGGUCGGAGGAUUCGCUUUGGACGAGCCGUUUUCGCUUUUAAUUCUACAACCGCAACAAGUUUGGAUGAUGAACUGGUUCGUUCGUUGGGCAACGCUUUCUUGGUAUGCUUAGUAGGUAAGUGGUGUAAUGCGCUGUAAGCUUUCUUCUUGUUAUAGAGCUUCUACAGACAGUUCUGAGAAUUUUCUCCGGACCUACUUUUGCAGGGUUAUUGCGUGAAAUUAUUGCAGAGUGAGUUUGAAUUUGAUUUUUUAUUCGCAAAUAUUUCGUAUCUUUCUUUAAUUCGCUUUUCUACGAUUCUCGAGAGUUUCGAAGAAUUUAAUAAAGAGAAGUAUAUUGUUUACUCAAAGAACAAAAAUAUCAUAAAAUGUUCGCGUAAUAUUUCUAUUAUUAUUUCUGAUUAACACUCGUUGAAAGAAAAGAUAGAUUAAUCCUUAAAUUAAUCGUAAUCACGAUGAGAAUAUACUUUACAGAAGUUUUUUUUAAAUUCCUCCUUCGAUAUCUCUAACAAUCUCGAGUCUGUUAAAUUACGAGAAAGCUCUCGGUAUUCAUUUGGAACAAUAAAUUCAUGGCCUUCCAGUUAAUCUUCAACGACGUUGCACCCCUUAAUUCCAGAAGUUGUUCGAGUUCGUUAGGCGCGAUUGAAGUGGCGCGAUUCGUGAUUGCGAUUUAACUCGUUCGAGCGAUAUUUCACUGGUUUCUAUCACACUUUACGAAUCUUCCUCGAUUAACAUUCCUUCGAUUAACAUUCCAGGAAAGAAAUAUUCUCAAGCUUGCAACGCUGCGAUUGGAAUUUUAUUUACAAUCGUAAAGUGUCGAUAAUGUAUUCAAUGGAACGAUCCACUUGCCGUGCUACAAAUUUGUGUAAUUUACACGAAUCUUUCGUUCUUAAGGGAAAAGAAACCGAGGCAACAAUUUCCCGCCAUUUCGAUUCGAAUUUUCAAAAUUCAAUAUCCAAUUGUUGUUAUAUUUUCCCAUAAAUCAACCUUUAUCGGCUUUAACGAUAAAUUAUUCCUUAUCUUCGAAAAUGUCAAUACAGGCUUAUUAUCAGGUUUCGAUUGCUUCUGCUACGAACAAUCCGAAUGAUUUAUUCAACGAUUUUAUACGCGACGAUUCUCAAUACCACAGUUUUCAAACCGGUUUUCUCACCAUUUACGUCGAUUCCCUCGCUAACCUAAUUUUUCUUCUCUCUAAUCAACCGAUUGCUUCGUAUCCUCGAUACAAAGAAGAAGAGAUCAUUUUACUUAACACUUCUUAAUCUCUUAAUCCCAAAACAAACAGAAUCCAACGGGAUAAUAAUCGAUCACUCUAAAAAUAUUCAAUUCACAAUCCGAAAAAAAACACCUCCAAUAAAAACAGAUCGUAGAAAAUUAUCUCGAUGAAGCUCAGUUUUGCUGCUCCUCGAAUUGCAACCAGCACGACCAGUUUCCCCAACAGUUUAACUUCUAAUCUCGAGUCCGAAUCACUUUGCACAUCCUGGGACAGAUCCACUGGCAAACUUGAAACGAUCCAACAUUUCACAGCACACGUGCUUCGUCACACCACCGAAAAUUUCCGAGCUAACCACUGCCUAACAUCCGGCAACUUGCCAAUCUAAUCCCUCGUUUUCUGCCAGAGAUCGCGAGGAGGAGGCGAUCGAGCCUCUCCGACUUCCUGCGGAGAUAACCGCGAGGAUCCCUGUCGAGAUCAGGAAACCUGUUGAUACUUUCCACGAUUCCCCCGACUUUCAGUCGAGUUUCAAAGAUCCAACCGUUGGGGGGAUUUCGUUCGAAACGUUCCCUUCGAAGCCGAGGGGAACGAGUUGUUGCGCGUUCGAGGGGCCGCGAGCGAUUUGUUUACGGUCGAGGUGAGCCCGGUGGACGAGUAUCACGGUUGACACGGUUGCCGCGAAACGACAAGUUAGUCAAUAGCCGUUCGAAUUACCGCUCUCGAGCUUGGAGUUCUCCGGCCUGGAAAGAGUGGCUCACUCGAGGCAUCCAAACUUGGCCAUUCGACUUCUACUAGAUGCCCAUGUUGGACGGGGUCUUCCCAGAAUUAUCCUGGGUGGUCGGUGAUCGAUCAAUUUUGGCUUUGCUUAAUUAUUGUCUUUGAAACGGAUGCUUCGUUUCCAAGUUUCGUAAUUGUACUUUGAAACGAUCCAAACCCGAUCCUUUUCACCGCACGCGUAUAGAGUGUAUCUCUCCUCCAAGAUCCUAAUUUAGCCUCCGACCACAUUCAAUUUUCCCUAUCCUCAACUUCGUAUUAACCACAAGCGUUAAAUCUUCGUUCCAACGAGGAGUUCUUUCGAAAUCCAAGGGAGAAUCCUUCGAAGAAGCACACUUCGUUCACUUCGUUUAUCAAACUCAAUCGAUCAAUCAAUUAAAAUCCUUCCAAAAGAGAAGAAUAUCUGGUCAAAUCUCCCCUCCGGAUAUAAUCAUAAUUUUCUCCCCAGCCGAGAGGACGAGGAGGGAUCGAUCAAAGCAUAGGUUGGCCGACGACAACUCGAGGAUCGAUCGGACGGACGAAUAAUGGGCGCGAGUUUUCGAGCAUCGUUUCGAUCGAGGCCUCGAUCGGUAAAUACGGGUUCCCUAGGAAGCGGGAAGCGGCCGGAAGCGGAGGCGCGACGACGAAAUGGCGCUGGGGUCGGAGUUUCGAAGAGUUUCGAAGACGAUGAGGAAACGGUGGCGCGCGCGCGAAACCGAUCGGAAGCGUGUCGAAGAAUAAAACCGAGCGUACGGCGCAGGUAAGAGAGGUUUUCGAGCAACUACGAGCCGGUCAGAAGGCGGCGUGUCUUUCUCCCCUGCAUCGUGCAUCAGCUCGCGGAGAGAGGGAAAUGGCGAAACGAUGGUAGGAGGAGGUAGUGCAAAAAGAGCCGUGGAAGGGGAGACGUAGGUGAACGCGAUAAAUCUGCGGUCCUCGGGAAUCGGGAUCGGGAUCCUGUCCUCUCGCGUCGAUCGCGAGCACGUUGUUGGUCGUUGUGGAUCGAAGCGUCGUUUCUAGGAAGUAUCUUCUCUCUUGGAUAAAAGGUGUUGCAACACCUUUCCUUUCUGGAGAAAAAUAUACGUUGAUAUUAGAACAAAAGCUUCGAUUGGAGAUAAACGGUUACGUAUUUGUAUUUUGUCGAGUAGGAAAAAAUAUUCAGUGAAAAUUGAUAAGAGGUGUUUGUCGCUAUUGGAUUGAUGUAUACGUUGCGCUAUUAUGAUGAAUGAUAGUUGCGCUAUAAUUUCUUCGGAUUAAGGAAGAUUUGUAUCGCUCACACUUCCGAACUGUUUCAUUAAUCACGCGGAAAAUGGAAAAUUUAUACAUAUACUUGAAAAGGAAGGCGAGCAGAAGGAGAUGUAACGGAAAAUUAGAGAUGCAAUUUUUCUGAAACAACAUUGAAGGCACGCUCUAUUUCCGUGAAACUGUUCGCGUCUCGAACUUAUGUUGCCGAUUCUGAAAAUGUUACAGUUUUAUGAAAAUACUAUCUAAAAUCGCAGACUGUGAAACCAUCGAGUACCACCAGCUCGUAUUCAAUUUGAAUUAAAUCCAAUGAUUAUUGGGAAUAAAUUUUCCAAUUAAUUGCUUCAUUUUUAAAUUAAAGUAUUAUCGAUAAACAUCGUGGAUAAGUAAAUUCCUAUUUCUAUCUAGAUAUAAUUAAAAGAUAGAACUUAAUAGAGACUUUGACUCGCUAAAUAUUUAUAUCAUUAUAAUAUUUAACAGAUUUAAUUCUAAAAAAAAAAAAUCUAUCGAGUUUUGAAAGUUUCUUUUCUGUGUUGAACUCUCUCGAAAGUUCGACACACCAUUGUGAAACCAUAAGAUUCGCAUACAUCGGCUGUUGACCAAUGUUUCUAUAAAGGAAGAAACAUUUGAAAGACGCAUCGCGUUUGAGUUGCAAUUUUACGCACAGCUGACUUCGCAGUCACCCUUUGCGGCCAGUUGGUUCCUGCCUAAAGCAACAGGUGGUCUUAUCCACGUGUCGAUCCUGGAAACGAGCAAUUUUACAAUUGCAAAAUGCUCGUUUUAAAAAAAAAUGUUACAAAGAAUUGUAUAAUAUCGUCGGACGUAUAUUUAUAGAACGAACGUUUUAAAAAUUGCAUCAAAGAUCGAGGAAAAGAAGAAGAAAAAAAAAAAAGGAAUACGUGAAAAGAAAUCUAGCGCAUCUAACGUGAAUAAAAUUAUAACAUUAACGUUAAGAGAAACGUAUACGUAAUAUCUAUCGAUACGAGUCGUGAAAAAUAAAAAAUACAAAGGAGUACGUGAAUAAAAUUACAAAGUACUCUUUACCAAUCCUUUAGUAGUUCAUAUAUUGUUCGAUAGGGAUUUUACAGGUGUUACAUUAAUGGGAACAACAUCUAUGUGUGACUCAUGGUAAAUACAACCGGAGUUUUGUGUCCGCCACGCUACAAAUUUUUGUUUAAUACGUGUUCGAUACAAUUUGAACCAUCUAUUCGAUAAUCGGUAGACUUCGUUCCUAUGUAUAUAUACAUACGGUAGACAGAUAUACAAAAACAUCAUAUCGUACAAAAUAGUAGCAAUAGUAUCACCACCAGUUUCGUUCCCACGUAUUCUUCUCUUAUGUACGGUAACCUCUCAUUGACCUUUGAUAUUUUCACCUUAAUAUCGUAAUAAACUUUAUAAAAAUACGAUUCUUUUAACCCUUUAUUUGGCCAUCAUUCAUUCUCGUUUUUUUCUUUUUUUUUUUUUCGAUAAAAAUAUAUUUCCUCAUUUUCGAAGUAUUAAGGUUUGCUCGAAUAAUUUUAAGAAAAAUUCACAUUACGAAUCUUUUUCUUUAUCUAUAAAGAAUCUAAAAUCUAAAAUCUAAAGAUUGGAAUUUAAACGUUUAAAAAUCGCAUAAACUCUCCUUCUAAAAUCAAAAAUAAAAAUCAAAAAGACUACGUAAAUCUCGUUGAUUAAUUUACCUUCGAUUAAUCGCCAAAUAAUGGGUUAAAAUGCUUUCAUCUUGGAGCGAAGAAUCGGAACGAUUACAAUAAUUGAUCGUCGUCUCGCCCGUGCUAGCGUUAUCCUCGAUCGUACAAUGUGUAAUUUGGUUCUUCUAUCCUUUUCUUUUCUUUUCGUUUUUUUUUUUUCGGUUUCUAAGGCAAAAUCCAGUGGCGUAUUUGUGGAAAAAUUCGAUGCUUUCUCUCGAUUUAGCAUGGUCGUUUCGUCAAUAACAUGUACCGUACGCAGAGAUCGGUCGAAAGAAGUGAAAACCCAAGUGAAAAAAAUUGCGGAAAUGGCGCGUCUCACGCGCACGUUCCUCUUUAUUAUGUACAAAAGAAAAAACAAAAAAAAGGAAAAAAAAAAUCUAAAAAAAACGUGAGCCAAUUCGAUGACGAACGAGCUUAUUCUAUCUUCUAUCUCCGUUUUGUCGUUUUUCUUCUUUUUCUUUUUUUUUUUUUCGGUUGUUCGAUUAUCAUCGAUAUCGUAUUUCCUUUGUACUUGUUUCGUUUUAUUAGUCUCUUCUCCUUUUUUUUUCUUUUCUUUCUUUCUAGUUUUUAGUUUUUCCUCGUUCCUCUUUCGUCACGAGGAAUGAUAACGGAUCGGAGGAGGAGUCGAGGAGUUUCAGGACGAACGACGCGUGUUCUCGGAUGAAAAAAAAUGAAGAAGAAAAGAAAUAAACAGAGGUUUCUGGUUCCCUUGAUGUUAACCAAAACGCAAAUCGGGAAUGUUGUACUAUGAUCCAUGAUUUUUUUUAUUAAACAAAUUAAAUACAAAAGAGGUUGUUGUAUCUCCGUUUUCCUUUUUUUGUUGCUCGUGUUGCCGACCACGACUCGCAGUCGCUCCAUUCUCGAGUUAAUAUAAAUAAUUAAAAAACAACAGAGGAGAACGGGGGAGGGAGGGCAAGGAGCAUUAAAUAAAAAGUAAAAAGAAGUCAUCGAGGGGUAAAAAUUAAGGGAGCAAGAGGGACAGAGCUCGUGGAAGAAGAAAGUUUAAAGGUUUUUCUACGUAUUCUGACUUUCUCUCUCUCUCUCUCUCUCUCUGUUUCUCUAUGUAUAUAUAUAUAUAUAUAUGUAUGUAUAUAUAUAUAUAUAUAUAUAUAUAUAUAUAUAUAUAUAUAUAUAUAUAUAUCUUUUUCUCAAUAAACAUACUCACACUCGCUCGCAUUGUACAAACUCUACGACAAGGUGGAUCGUUUCGUUCGAAAUAAUAAUUAAGGGAUAAAAAGGAAGGAUCGAGCUUCGGCAAUUCAAGACUAGUCGAACUUGAUAAUCAUCAUCCUCCAUUUACCGUCCUCUUCGCAAUUCGAUUAUUCCGCUCGUUUUCGAGAAUUUUUCCUUCGCCUUUAGCUUACAUUUCAAUACACCACGAACAAGUUCAAUAUUUAGAGGUUCGCUUGAAAUUACGCGAUAAAAUUUACAUUGGUAAAUAUUAGCAAUAUUUCAAUUUCAUGUAUCGACUAGCAUAAUUGAAUUUUCGCGAGAUAAUGUAAUAAUUCGUUUCGAUCUUUUAAGAAGAAUUCUUAAAAAUAAACAGAAUCAUCAGAAUUAAGAAUCGCGAAAAUCGGUAAGUAAAUGCUCCCAAUGGAAUGGACCACGUAUCCUUGAACCGCCAAAGGUGCGAAGAAAAAAAAAAAAAAAA